rnacentral:lncRNA from 1 species
UCAAAACAAACGGGGCCGCGGGAUGGAAUCUGAUGCUCCUGCUGGAACAGGUAACUCACGGGCCCAAGGAAACCAAUAAAUGGUUGGCCUCCAGUCUCCACUUUCUUUUGUUACUCUUAACUGUGAUGGUAUACCUGCUGACCCUGACUCCCUUAAACUGGAGAACCUGGUUCGCAUUAUUUCUUCACACCAUAUCAUUUUUCUACAAGAAAYCAGGACUUCCCAGUAUGAUCGACUCCUACAACACCUUCCCAGGCAC